rnacentral:lncRNA from 1 species
AUCUUUGUUGCCCAUGGAACGAAUGCCUGGUUAGAGUAAGCACACACAGGGAGCGGCAAUUGCAUAUCCACUUUUGCCACGUUGAGCCUGCAGGUGAUUUAUCAUUCCACAAAAUGCCACUGAAUUUUUGCGAUCUUCUGUGUUCUUUUUUUUUAAGUAAAUGGUCUUCUGUGUUCUGAUAUUUUCAUUUUAGGUUGGUGGGAUUACUGAAGAAUUGAUGAAGAGUUGCUGAUCAUAAAGCAAAGGACAACAACUGUCAGAUCCUGUAAAGAAGAGCGAGCAGGAAUUCUAGAUAACUGCCUGGCAAAGAUGCUGUGACAUAUUCUGAUGUCGUCUUCGGUUUUAGUCCUAAGGCCCAUUGUAGGAUGAGUUGCUUAAGUCCUUGAAUUUGUUGGCAAUAUGAGCAGGACCCUAUCCCUGGUCCUAUGUAACAAACUAAUGUCUUGUCUCCUGGAGUUGAAUAUGCUGUCCUUUUUUUUAGUGGUCAACUCCAAUUUUCGUAUUUUAUACUAUGUUGAUAUGGUGCAUCUUAUUUGGUAUAUGUUUAAGGACA